GGUGGCUCCCAAACGACAACUGACAAUGCCGCGGUUGGAACUCUGUGCAGCCUUGGCUGGUGCACAGCUUGCUAAGCUUCUAAUGCAAGAGUUGACCAUUCCUAUUGAGACGACCACACUCUGGACCGACUCGACUACCGUCUUGACCUGGAUUCAGUCGGAGUCUUGCCGAUAUAAAGUCUUUGUCGGCACUAGAGUGGCUGAGAUCCAGGAGUUAACUGACCUGCAUUCGUGGAGGUACGUGGACUCAGCAAGUAACCCGGCAGACGAUAUCACCCGGGGAAAGACGCUUGUAGAGCUGGCGAGCCCCAGUAGGUGGAAUCAGGGACCUCAUUUCUUACGUGGACCACCAGAUCAGUGGCCAGCUAUACCUCUGAUGGAGAAUCGAGAUGAUUCGUCAGAAACCAGGAAGACUGUAUUCUGUGGACUAACUAUAGAUGACCGGAAUCCGCAGAUGCCCGACGCAGCUCAAUUCACCUCCUGGAAGGCCUUGGUUAAGGCAACUUACCAGUCCCUUCACGGGGCGGCUGUUUUAGAUGCAGGAACCUCUAAACCUGAUUAUCAGAGUGCUGAAGUGUUAAUCUUGAGCCAGUCCCAAGCCGAAUCUUUCCCACUAGAAGUCAAAGCUUUGAAAGCAGGUAAGCCAGUGCCCCCUUCUAGUCGUUUGAGCACACUAGCACCAGAGUUUGAUCCGGCAUUAAGUUUGAUUCGAGUUGGAGGACGGCUUCGAAGAUUGGAAGGCUCGAUCCCAACCGAGAUUCACCCAGUAGUUUUAGACCCCCAUCAUGCUGUAACCAAGCUACUAAUCCAAGACUUUGAUGAAUGUCUACUUCAUCCAGGGCCGGACAGAGUUUUUGCUGAACUCCGUCGUUACUACUGGGUGCUGAGAGGUAGACAGGCGGUGAAGAAACACCAGAGGGGGUGCGUGCAAUGCCAGAGGUGGAGGGCUAAGCCGACGGUGCCCAUUAUGGCUGACCUACCCUUAGCUCGGCUACGACUCUAUCAACC
rnacentral:lncRNA from 1 species